UACGGGGGGGUGCGAGCGUUGUCCGGAAUCACUGGGCGUAAAGGGCGCGUAGGUGGUCUGAUAAGGGUGUGGUGAAAGCCCGGGGCUCAACCCCGGGUCGGCCGUGCCGACUGUUGGACUAGAGUGCUGUAGGGGCAGGCGGAAUUCCGGGUGUAGCGGUGGAAUGCGUAGAGAUCCGGAGGAAGACCGGUGGCGAAGGCGGCCUGCUGGGCAGUUACUGACACUGAGGCGCGACAGCGUGGGGAGCAAACAGG
rnacentral:rRNA from 1 species